GACGAACGCUGGCGGCGUGCUUAACACAUGCAAGUCGAACGGAAAGGCCCUGCUUUUGUGGGGUGCUCGAGUGGCGAACGGGUGAGUAACACGUGAGUAACCUGCCCCUGACUUUGGGAUAACUUCAGGAAACUGGGGCUAAUACCGGAUAGGAGCUCCUGCUGCAUGGUGGGGGUUGGAAAGUUUCGGUGGUUGGGGAUGGACUCGCGGCUUAUCAGCUUGUUGGUGGGGUAGUGGCUUACCAAGGCUUUGACGGGUAGCCGGCCUGAGAGGGUGACCGGCCACAUUGGGACUGAGAUACGGCCCAGACUCCUACGGGAGGCAGCGGUGGAGAGUAUUACACAAUGGGCGGAAGCCUGAUGCAGCAACGCCGCGUGCGGGAUGACGGCAUUCGGGUUGUAAACCGCUUUCGCCUGUGACGAGGCGUGAGUGACGGUAAUGGGUAAAGAAGCACCGGCUAACUACGUG
rnacentral:rRNA from 1 species